UACGUAGGGACCGAGCGUUGUCCGGAAUCAUUGGGCGUAAAGAGCGUGUAGGCGGCCCCUUAAGUCCUGCGUGAAAUCCUGCGGCUCAACCGCAGACGGUCGUGGGAAACUGGGAGGGCUAGAGUGCGGGAGAGGAGAGUGGAAUUCCCCGGUGUAGUGGUGAAAUGCGUAGAUAUCGGGAGGAACACCGGUGGCGAAGGCGGUUCUCUGGACAGUUCCUGACGCUGAGGCACGAAGGCCAGGGGAGCAAACGGG
rnacentral:rRNA from 1 species